UACGUAGGGGGCGAGCGUUGUCCGGAUUUAUUGGGCGUAAAGAGCUCGUAGGCGGUUUGGUAAGUCAGGUGUGAAAUCUCCACGCUCAACGUGGAGGGGCCACCUGAUACUGCCAUGACUGGAGUCCGGUAGAGGAGUGUGGAAUUCCCGGUGUAGCGGUGAAAUGCGCAGAUAUCGGGAGGAACACCCGUAGCGAAGGCGGCUGCCUGGCCCAAUACUGACACUCAGGUGCGACAGCGUGGGGAGCAAACAGG
rnacentral:rRNA from 1 species